rnacentral:rRNA from 1 species
GAAUAAGUUAGGUUCUUUAUUGUUUUGUUUAUUAAAACUUUAAUACUAGGUAGUUGUGAACAAUAUGGAAGAUUAAGUACUGAAAAGGAAUAUAUUGAAGUAGGGUUAAAUCUUAAUUGGUUCAAUAAAGGUGAGGUCUGUUUCCUUUUGCAUAAUGAUUUAAUUAGAGUAAAACUUGUAUAAGUUUAUUAUUAGUUAACCCGAAACUAAACGAUCUAUUCUAGCUCAAGUAGUGUUUGACUGAACCAGUUUAUGUUGCAAUAUAAUUGGAUGAAGUUGGGGUAGGUGUGAUAUGCUAAUCGUGUUUAGUUCUAGCUGGUUGCUUAAGAAAUGAAUAUAAGUUCAGCUUACUAAUAUACUAAGUGGGACUGGUCGGAAUAUGCUGAUUAGUCUAGAGGUGAACAAACUUAUACUAAAUUUGAAUGGUGAUAUUUCUUUUUGUGGGCUUAAAAGCAGCCAUCUAGUGAGGAUAGCGUUAUAGCUUGAAUUAGUAAAUCAAUUUUAUUUUAGUGGGGUAGUAAGCAACUUUGGUAAGAAUUUUAUGUUAAAAUGCGUAGGUUAAAUAACUUAAACAUAAGUGUGCAGUGAGUUAGGCUUUUUAUGUAACUUAUACAGGGAAUAUGCUGAAAGUUGGUCUGACAUAAGAGUGUUAUUAAGUUAUUAAGUUAAGGGAUAGGAACUCGGCAAAUAUCAAGCUCGCCUGUUUAACAAAAACAUCGCCUCUAGGUAAAUGUUAGAGGUCUGGUCUGCCCAGUGUUGUAAAAUUAACGGCCGCGGUAUUCUGACUGUGCAAAGGUAGCAUAAUCACUUGCCCUUUAAAUGGGGGAAUGUAUGAAUGAUUAGACGAGGUUUUAGCUGUCUUUUCCUUAAAAGUUGAGAUUACAUUGCUUGUGAAAAUGCGAGCAAAUUUUUAAUGGACGAGAAGACCCUGUUGAGCUUUUGAAUGAAACAUAGGUGUAAGUUAACUUAAAUAAGUGGUUAUUAUUGAAAUGUACAUGUUUGGUAAAUUCUUUGGCUGGGGUGGCAAGUAAAGAUAUUAAGCUUUAUUCAAAUUAAAAUAAAUUAAUGUUACGAGACGGUAUAUGUCAACAAAUGUUAGGGUGAUCCGUUUAGACUAAGCGAUUAAUAGAAUAAGUUACCACAGGGAUAACAGCGUUAUUCUUUUUGAGAGCUCGAAUUGACAAAAGAGUUUGCGACCUCGAUGUUGGAUCAAGAUUCCUGGCGGUGUAGCAGCUGCUAUGGGUUUGCCUGUUCGGCGAUUAAAAUCUUACGUGAUCUGAGUUCAGACCGUCGUAAGACAGGUUAGAUUCUAUCCUUAAGUUCAUGCGUUUAGUACGAAAGGACCAAUGGCAUGUGAUUUAAAGCUUUUGUUAAAUCAUAA